rnacentral:pre_miRNA from 1 species
UGGACAGAUUAUUGUAUUCGACUGUAUUCACGGCGUGAAAUAGGGGAUUACACUAUUUUUAAAACAAAAGUGAAUCAUAAUAGACUCCU